UGCUAAAACUCUGUUUUCUGACCAUCAGAAUUCUGUCAAAACUUCUCCCAAAGUCCACGAAAUGGCAUUUCAGAGACUCUAAAUUUAAAAAUUUCCUCGGGCCUUCGGCCCUCGCCACCCCCUAUCAAAAAGAACUUCCUAUGGAACUGCACGCUUCUGUACGGAGCUGCACUGCUUCUGCGUGUAAUGUCUGUGGGUAAAAUAUGAGUAUUUUUGUUUGUAAAUUGCGUUUUCAUUUUCCGGAUAGCAAACACCUUCGUGGCUUCGUAUGCCAUGAAAUAUUCGGAAUUUUUUUUCUUCAUUCGGAAAUUUUUGGCCUACACCCCCAACUAUGCAUGCUUAGCUACGGCCCUGAUCUAACACUUUUCUGGUUCGCUAUGCUUGUAAAUGAAUAUAAACUAAAGUACGUUUCAAUUAAAAAAAGUUCGAAAGAUGCAAAGUUUGGCAAAUGUUUAUUUUUGCGGUGCCCCUUUGUUACGAGCAGAACUGAUGUGCAGAACGAACGUUGCAGCAUCUUUAAUGGGUCUGUAAAGUCCCUGGUCAUAAGCUAAUAGCACGUAAUAGUUAUAAUCAAUAAAGAGCGUGGCAAAUUUCAGCAUGAUCCCUUAUGAUAAAAUGUUUUCUCGAGGGGUCUAUCACUCCAAAAUUCUCGUAUGCUUUGAUCGAAAAAUCCUUUAAAAUCUCACCAAAUCCCUAAUAAAUCCCUCUAAAUCCUUAAAAACCUAUAUAAAAUCACUAAAAAUCUCUAAAAUCCCUACAAAUCUCAGAAAAAUUCUAAGGGAAUUUCGACUGAAUCCCGAAAAUCUUGUACACGUUUUUGGAGUGAUACAACCCUCGUCUUAGUGUAAUGUUGCUGUUCAGUCAUUCGGUUUCUAAUGCAUAUGGUAGACCUUUUCCUAAUGUCGGUAUUUCAGUAAUUAUUCAAUGUGGACAAAGAUUCAAUAGACAGUACACUAACUCUAUAUAUCAUGUCAUUUAAAUCAUGAAACUAAAAAAGCAAAAUAGUAAACUUUGCAAUAUACCAAUUAGAAUUAAUAUGCUG